CCUACGGGAGGCAGCAGUGGGGAAUAUUGCACAAUGGGGGAAACCCUGAUGCAGCGAUGCCGCGUGAGUGAAGAAGUAUUUCGGUAUGUAAAGCUCUAUCAGCAGGGAAGAAAAAAGUCGGUACCUGACUAAGAAGCCCCGGCUAACUACGGGGCAGCAGCCGCGGUAAUACGGAGGGGGCAAGCGUUAGUCGGAUUUACUGGGUGGAAGGGGAACGGAGACGGCGCGGCAAGUCCGAAGUGAAAUGCAGGGGCUUAACCCCUGAACUGCAUUGGAGACUGCCAUGCUAGAGUGCUGGAGAGGUAAGUAGAAUUCCUAGUGUAGCGGUGAAAUGCGUAGAUAGUAGGAGGAACACCAGUGGCGAAGGCGGCUUCCUGGACAAUAACUGACGUUGAGGCUCGAAAGCGUGGGGAGCAAACAGGAUUAGAUACCCCUGUAGUC
rnacentral:rRNA from 1 species